CCUACGGGAGGCAGCAGUGGGGAAUUUUGGACAAUGGGCGCAAGCCUGAUCCAGCAAUGCCGCGUGAGUGAAGAAGGCCUUCGGGUUGUAAAGCUCUUUUGUCAGGGAAGAAACGGCUGAGGAUAAUACCUUCGGCUAAUGACGGUACCUGAAGAAUAAGCACCGGCUAACUACGUGCCAGCAGCCGCGGUAAUACGUAGGGUGCAAGCGUUAAUCGGAAUUACUGGGCGUAAAGCGUGCGCAGGCGGUUUUGUAAGUCUGUCGUGAAAGCCCCGGGCUCAACCUGGGAAUUGCGAUGGAGACUGCAAGGCUUGAAUCUGGCAGAGGGGGGUAGAAUUCCACGUGUAGCAGUGAAAUGCGUAGAGAUGUGGAGGAACACCGAUGGCGAAGGCAGCCCCCUGGGUCAAGAUUGACGCUCAUGCACGAAAGCGUGGGGAGCAAACAGGAUUAGAUACCCUGGUAGUCCACGCCCUAAACGAUGUCUACUAGUUGUCGGGUUUUAAUUAACUUGGUAACGCAGCUAACGCGUGAAGUAGACCGCCUGGGGAGUACGGUCGCAAGNUUAAAACUCAAAUGAAAUUGACGG
rnacentral:rRNA from 1 species